rnacentral:rRNA from 1 species
GAACGAACGCUGGCGGCAUGCCUAACACAUGCAAGUCGAACGAGACCUUCGGGUCUAGUUGCGCACGGGUGCGUAACGCGUGGGAACCUGCCCUUAGGUUCGGAAUAACUCCCCGAAAGGGGUGCUAAUACCGGAUAAUGUCUUCGGACCAAAGAUUUAUCGCCUUUGGAUGGGACCGCGUUGGAUUAGCUAGUUGGUAGGGUAAAAGCCUACCAAGGCGACGAUCCAUAGCUGGUCUGAGAGGAUGAUCAGCCACACUGGGACUGAGACACGGCACAGACUCUUACGGGAGGCAGCAGUGGGGAAUAUUGGAACAUGGGCGAAAGCAUGAUGCAGCAAUGACGCGUGAGUGAUGAAGGCAUUAGGGUUGUAAAGCUCUUUUACCCGGGAUGAUAAUGACAGUACCGGGAGAAUAAGCUCCGGCUAACUCCGUG